UUCCAGACUCCUACGGGAGGCAGCAGUGGGGAAUAUUGCACAAUGGGGGAAACCCCGAUGCAGCGACGCCGCGUGAGUGAAGAAGUAUUUCGGUAUGUAAAGCUCUAUCAGCAGGGAAGAAAAUGACGGUACCUGACUAAGAAGCCCCGGCUAACUACGUGCCAGCGGCCGCGGUAAUACGUAGGGGGCAAGCGUUAUCCGGAUUUACUGGGUGUAAAGGGAGCGUAGACGGCAGAGCAAGUCUGAAGUGAAAGCCCGCGGCCCAACUGCGGGACUGCUUUGGAAACUGCCCGGCUAGAGUGCUGGAGAGGUAAGCGGAAUUCCUGGUGUAGCGGUGAAAUGCGUAGAUAUCAGGAGGAACACCGGUGGCGAAGGCGGCCUGCUGGACUGCGACUGACGUUGAGGCCCGAAGGCGUGGGGAGCAAACAGGAUUAGAUACCCGCGUC
rnacentral:rRNA from 1 species